GUCAGCACCCCGCUCUAAAGAGAAGGGGCUUGAUGCCCCCAACUUUAGGUAGCUGACCAGCCUAAGUCCCAUCUAUGGGGAAACUACGUUAUCGGCAAGUGUUCAAGACCUACCUGGGAAUGCGUAGCCAGUUCCUAGCUCUAGA
rnacentral:sRNA from 1 species